rnacentral:rRNA from 1 species
UUAACACAUGCAAGUCGAACGGAAAGGCCCUUCGGGGUACUCGAAGCGGCGAACGGGUGAGUAACACGUGGGUGAUCUGCCCUGCACUUUGGGAUAAGCCUGGGAAACUGGGUCUAAUACCGAAUAUUUCCUGCUGGUCGCAUGGCCUGGUGGGGGAAAGCUUUUGCGGUGUGGGAUGGGCCCGCGGCCUAUCAGCUUGUUGGUGGGGUGAUGGCCUACCAAGGCGACGACGGGUAGCCGGCCUGAGAGGGUGUCCGGCCACACUGGGACUGAGAUACGGCCCAAACUCCUACGGGAGGCAGCAGUGGGGAAUAUUGCACAAUGGGCGCAAGCCUGAUGCAGCGACGCCGCGUGAGGGACGACGGCCUUCGGGUUGUAAACCUCUUUCAGCACAGACGAAGCGCAAGUGACGGUAUGUGCAGAAGAAGCACCGGCCAACUACGUGCCAGCAGCCGCGGUAAU